GAUGAAGAACGUAGCGAAAUGCGAUAAGUAGUGUGAAUUGCAGAAUUCAGUGAAUCAUCGAAUCUUUGAACGCACAUUGCGCCCCUUGGUAUCCCGAGGGGCAUGCCUGUUCGAGCGUCAUUUCACCACUCAAGCCUGGCUUGGUGUUGGGCGACGUCCCCUUUGGGGACGCGCCUCGAAACGCUCGGCGGCGUGGCACCGGCUUUAAGCGUAGCAGAAUCUUUCGCUUUGGAAGUCGGGGCCCCGUCUGCCGGAAGACCUACUCGCAAGGUUGACCUCGGAUCAGGCAGGGAUACCCGCUGAACUUAAGCAUAUCAAUAAGCGGAGGAA
rnacentral:misc_RNA from 1 species